UGCUCGAAUGGUGGAAUCGGUAGACACGAGGGACUUAAAAUCCCUUGGCCAUUGCGGCUGUGCGGGUUCAAGUCCCGCUUCGAGUACAAG
rnacentral:tRNA from 1 species